UCAAUUAAUUUCGGUGACCACAGCGGAAACAUCCUCCUAAACAACGUCACAUUCCUGGACCCAGCGUCAGGCGUCAGUGGUGACAAAGUGUCCUCUGCAUCGAUGUCUACGAUGACC
rnacentral:ribozyme from 1 species